AUGAAGAUCAAUGUAGAUGGUGCUAUCUCACGACAAGGAGGAUCUGGUGCAGCCGCUGCGGUCUGCCGGGACAAGGAGGGCAACUACUUGGGAGCAUCAGCGGUGGUUUUCGAUGGGCUAGUUAAUGCCCCAAGCUUGGAAGCUCAAGCAUGCAAUGAGGCGCUUGCCUUGGCUCAAGAUCUACUUGUGACACAUGCGAUAAUAGCCUCGGACUGCAUGCAGGUUUUUACGGACAUCAAUGGAGCUUCGCCCUCAUCAUCAUAUGCUUUUGUAAUUAAGGAGAUCAAAGAUAGAGCUAUGAACUUUGCUAGAGUUAGUUUUCGUUUUGAAAGGAGAGAGGCAAACUUUGAGGCUCAUACCUUGGCAAAGGCAGCCUCGUCUCUCCCUGUUGGGCGCCACGUGUGGCUAGGGAACCUACCAGACAUUAUUUGUAUUCCUACAACUUUGGUUGAUCAAUAA
rnacentral:rRNA from 1 species